GGUGCAUGGAGCAUAUGUAUAUAUGUAUAUUUGAGCCAAGGGAGAUGGGGGACUUAGGUUAACCUUUCCAAAUAAUACAACAUAAAACAUAAAACAGAGCCUUGCGUGGCAGCAUUAACGGCAGGCGUUGCUGGGUUAAGGUAGGGAGAGCGUCUGCUCCCGUUCUUGUUCCUCUAGUGGCCUCCUUGGUGGCACCCAUAAGUGCCCCUCGGUCGGAGUCCCG